rnacentral:lncRNA from 1 species
CAAGGGCCCAAGUCCCUGCGAGUACACAGCCCCAAUUGUUGGAUUCUUGGAUUCAGAUUCUUAAAUUGUUGUGCCAAUGGUUUGACAGCAGGCAAAUUGAUGGAUAGGCUUUAUGGACAAUAGUCAGGGUGGGAACAGAAUUAAUCAGCAAUUAUUUGUUUUAUUACCUUCUCCCUCAAGAUCAGAGCCUUCCUACUCUGAGCUGGCCUGAAUGUCCUGUUCAUGGAUCCAGCUCAGCCCUGGGCACAUGGCAAGUGGUGUCUGGCUCUUUUGCCUUCUACACCGUCUUCCCACUUCCUACCAUCAGAUACCCAAAGCCUCCAAUGAACUCCCUCCUCAACUUCAGUUCCUUAAAGACAAUCCACCUGAAUCAAUCUAUUCACCCUGAACUGUUAGGACAUGGCUCAAAACUUAGCCCAAAGCAAGCACAGAACAGUUGUUGGUUGAAUCAGAGUCUCCAGUAAGCAAAGUCUUGGAACCUGUCACUUUCACAGCAUGGCAGUGAUUCCCACAAUCGGGCAAGCUUGGGAAAUUCUGAUAUGAUACAGACACAUUCAUUCGGAAUAAUGGAAAUAAAGGAAUUGGGUAAGGGAGUGUGUUGGGACUGGAAAGAGUUCACUGAUGCUUCUUAAUCACUCAGAUGUGAUUGGGUGGGGAGAAGGAUAGGAAACAGUGUGGAAGUCAAUCACUCAACAAAUCAUGGAUGCCUCUGGUGAGUGGGGCAAGAAUGAAGGUGGAGUUUCCACCCAGAAAGGCCAUACAAUCUAGUAGAGCAAGCAUCUAAACAAAACAGAAGGGGCUGGAAGAAAAGCUAGUUAUGCCUUGGGAGCAAUGCUUCUGGGGAUGAGUCUGCCUUGGAAGAAAACAGCUGGAAAUUGGUCCUGUCAUUGUGAAAUGGUGAUUGCCUUCAAGGGAAAUACCUGAGGAAUGGCAUGGCCAUACCCAUCCUGAUGGAGGCGAUCCAACCAGUCGCAGCCUUUCAAGAAAGUUUCACUCUGCUGAACCCUGAAAAUAAGGCCUUGAAAAGCAAACGACCCACUUGUACAUCAACCAUCAGCUUAACCCCCUAGUGCCUCAGGUUUACC